rnacentral:lncRNA from 1 species
UUUGGGAUGUGAGAAAUGAAAGCCCAAUCCGCACCCUUUCUAUUUCCACAUCUUUCCUUCAAUUGGGGACAGUCAUCGAUAUCCAAUUCUCGUAACGAGGUGAGGGAACGCAUCUCUUGAGGCAGACACUUUAUUGCCGGACAAAUCUCAAUGGUUAGUCUUUGAAGACAAGUGAGAUUCCGCAGUCCAUCUGGAGGUAGAGAUUCGAGCUCUUUAAUGUCCCUAAUCCAAAGGUUCUUCAAUUUAGAGAGAGGAGGAAUGAUUGAGGAAGAAGAAGAGAUUGAUGGUGUGAAUAUUUGGUGCACAAGUUGUGGGCUUGCGUGCAGCAAAUGUAGUGAAUCAUCGAGAGAUGGAAACUGAGGGAUGGACUUCAAAUUAGGGCAGUCCUCACAAACGAAAUAUGAAAGACAAGGAAAUUGGAGUAGCUCAAGAGCUGUCGAAUCAUCCUCCUUCUUCUUCUGCCAUCCUUUAAGCUUAGGACAACCAUAUAGCACGAGAGUCUUUAGGGAUGGAAAGAAUGAUGUUGGUUGUCCCUCAAUCUCCAUGUAUUCUAAAUCAUCUACUCCCCAAAUCUCUAGAUAUUGAAGAGAAGGGAUUUGAUCCAUUGGUGGGAGAUGCUGAUAUCUCUUGCAAUUCCAUAUACAGAGAUAGACAAGAUUCGUGAGGGAAGAGAACCAACUUGGGAACCUCCUGCCUCCAUAGCCAAACACAAGUAACUCUUUAAGAUUGGGAUGUGGUUGGAGAUUUUGGAAUGCCAUUUCAUCUCUAUCAACAUUUGAAUCUUCCCAACUCUCCUCCCAACGUAGUUUCAAUGAUUGAAGGAGUGGCUUCUCUUUCAAAUUAACAUUUACAAUCUCAUCAUCCACACAUCCCAGAUUUCUAAUUUCAAGACGUCCCCUCAAAUUGUUAAGCUUAUUCAAUUCAUUUAUUUUUCCAACAUCCUUUGAGGAAAUAUGCCCUUUUCCCACUACGAACAGUGACAACGUCUGAAGUGAAGUCAACUGCCCAAGCCCACGUGGCAUAUGAGUCAAAGAGUUACAACCUUCACAAUAUAAAUGCCUAAGAUUCACAAGCUUUUUAAUAUCUUUAGGCAAUUCUUUGAGCUCGUCACAAUAAGAGACAUCUAAUACUUGUAAAUUCAGCAAAUCCGUAAUAGAAUUUGAAAGUGCUUUAAGUUUCUCGUUAUCGGAAACGUCAAGAUAUCUUAGAUAUUUUAGCAUUUUUAUAGAAUUAUCCAUUAUUCUAUAUGAAUGCAUAGUAAAUACACGCAAAAAUUUUAAAUUUUUAUAAAUAAAUAGCUGAUCGACAUUAUGUUCCUCAGACAAAAGAAUCGAUCGUACUCUUUUUGCAUUGUUAAGAAUUUCUUGUGGUGCAACAACUAAAUUCAAUGCUACAUGAUGGGUUUUCUCAUCAAUAUUUGGUGCAUCAGAAUUUACUAGCUGAAUCCUCUUUCCACCCACUGUGGUUGCGAGAUCGUGCAUUAAAUCAUGCAUUUUACAGCUUUCUACAUUUCCACAUCUAUCUCUUUCCACCUCUUGAAAAAAUGACCUCCACCACAGUUUCAUAAAAUAUUCAAGCCCAAUAUCUUCAAGACAAUCACUCGUACUUGGUGAUUCAAUAAACCCUUGUGCAAUCCAAAGAUGGAUUAAUGUUUUCACAUCAAUCACAUAAUCUUUUGGAUAUAUUGCGCAAUAUGCAAAACAAUGCUUCAAAUGUGAUGGGAGAUGAUCAUAACUUAGCUUCAGUGUUGGCAUAAUAUCAUUACCAUCUUGACUUAUUCUUGAGAGUUCUUUUGUUAAAAAGGGCAACCACUCAGUUUCUGGAUUUUUCGCAUACAAGAGACUUGCUAUAGUUUUUAUUGCAAGUGGAACUCCAUGACAUUUCUUCAAAAUCUCCUUUCCCAUCUCUCUUACAUUUGCAUGUUUUGGCUCCUGCCCCUUAAGUGCUACAUGCAAAAACAAAGACCAAGACUCAUCCAGAGACAACCCUUCCAAAACAUGUGGUGCUGUUGUGCCAGAUAUAUCUGCCACCUUUUUAGAGCGAGUGGUUAUUAAUAUCUUACUUCCACUAGAGCCACCCACUAAUAAUCUCUUUAAAUUCUGCCAUUUUUCUCUAUUCUCAUUCCACACAUCAUCUAGAACAAGCAGAUAUUUCUUCCCACUAAUAAUUUUUUCCAGUCUAGACUUCAAUGCUUCUAACCCAAGAUCUUCCGAUUUAUUCCCUGUUGCAGACUCUAGAAUCUUUCCAACAGUCAUUUUCACAUCAAAAGGUUCUGAAACACACACCCAUAUUCUUGGCUCAAAUGAAUUCUUAAUCAUUUCAUCAUUCAAUAUGAUUUGAGCAAGAGUGGUCUUCCCUAAUCCUCCAAUUCCAACAAUUGAGAGGACUGAAACACACUCUUCACCAUUGGAAGACAAUACAAGUUGUGUAAUUGCCUUUUUGUCACCCUCUCUCCCAAUAACCACUUCAGGUAAAGAGGACGUAGUUUGAUCCCUCCAUACAAUACUCUCCUGAUCAGUACGAACCUCUAAAUUAAAUUUUCUGUCAGCUUCAAUAUCAGCUAGCCUCUCCCUAAUCGCCUUAACUUUAUGACCCAUUUUAAAACCAUAAACAAGUUUAUUUGAAGACGAAAAGAAGAGACUUACCUCCUUUGUCAUUCUAUUUCCAGUCAUCACUCGGCGCCUUAGGGCUUCUGUGGCGAAGUCAUCUACCAAAUCAUCAGCAUCAUAAACCACUUCUUCUAGCCUCUCAAGCCAGCAUUUCACUUGACGGUUAAGUUUCUGCUGCUCCUCAGCAUCCAGAAGAACGUUGCGAAUACUAGAAACUGUGGCCUCAAGUUUCUUAAGCUCACCUUUGACGCCCCACCACAAUCCGAUCUCAUGAAGGGCUCGAGAACCCAGCUUGGUAAUGAUAUCUCCGACAACGUUAGAGAGAACUCCGUCGGNNNNNNNNNNNNNNNNNNNNNNNNNNNNNNNNNNNNNNNNNNNNNNNNNUUUAAAUAAAAAAAAAAAAAAAGAAGUGGAGGAAAAAGCGGUCCGUUAACUUUGGACGGCGCUGGUUUGCUUUAAUUUAAAAAGUAAAAUAUAUUAAUAAAUUUAUAUAUAGAAUGAAAGUUAGUUAUUUUUUAUAAAAUAAUUUUAUUUUUUAUUAAAUAAAUUUUAUGAGUGAUUUAAAUCGUUAAAAAAUAUAAAAUAUAUUUUUGAUGUUACUAAAAUUUUGUUAUUGAAAUGAAAGUAUUUUUAUAUAUUUUGUGAUGAUGUAUAAAGUUACAUUAGGUAUAAUAUGAUGUAUAGUAAAUUUAUUAUGAGUUUUAAUGACUUUAAAUCGAUUUAAAUUUUAAUAUUGAUAGCGGUUCAAUUUCUGAAUUAUUAUCGAAAUGUAUAGCAGGAGCUCAAGAGUAUCCUGUUGCAUAUUAUAGAUCCAUCGAUAUAAAAAAUAUGGCAUAUGCACACAUUCAGGAUUUAGAGAUUCCUUCAGCUAGUGGCAGAUAUUGUUUAAUUAAAAGAGAUGUCCACUUCUCUGAGGUUUUGAAGAUUGUGUCAGCAACAUUAUCCUACAUUGCACCUUCCAAAAAACUAUGGUUUUUUUUAUAUUUUUGCAUGCUCAUGUUGGACCAGCUAUAUGAAUGGCUAAGAUAUAUAAUUAUUUGGAUAACUGAGAAAUAGUUAUUUUGAAUGAUUAAUUUGAUCAUGGAAUAUAAUCUGAGUUGCAGAUGUGGCUCUGAAUUGAAUUACUUAACAAAGUAUGAGGUAUCAAAGAAAAAAGCGAAAACUUUGGAUAUUGAUUUCAUUCCUUUGGAGGUUAGUUGAAGGACACUAUUGAAAGCUUGAAGGAGAAGAGCCUCCUCAGCAUUUGAUUUUGGCUGUCGGAUAAAAAGCAAUGCAAAUAUUACAUUGGCCUUUCAGGUUCAUUGGCUUUAGCUUUCUAUUGGUGUAAGGUAUUAUUGCCCUUCAGAAUUGUCUUUAUUUAAAAAAAGUGAACCCAUACAAUUUGUAAAAUAUAUUAAAAUUUGUAUACAGCUGUAUAUAAACAUAUUACAUGUGUCGCUUGUUUCUGGUAGAUAAAGUUCAUUUCAGGUCUGAUUUCUGAGGAAGUUGCUCUUUUUUUUUAUCUGAUUUCAAGUCUCAUUCCAAAGAAGAAGACACAAGAAAAAGAAAAUGUGUAAUCCACCAAUUCAGAUUUAGUUCAGUCUUUUCAAAGUAUAUUCAGAUUUCAUAGCCAAUUCAUUUAAUGCUGUAUCUGAUUUCUGGUUCUUGUGAUACGCUCUUACAAAAUUCAUUUAAAAUUCAGUACUCUUACACAUUUUGGAAACACAAUUUAUACAAAAACUGAUUUCUCAGGAAAAAAAAGGAAAAUAAUGUUAUUUGCAUUGAAUGAACAAAUGAUUAGCAUAGUAGCAAAACUACUUAAAAUAAGAGAAAUUAGAAACCAAAAAGCAGCACAGCAUGAGUCUGGGCAUUGCAUGUUGGAUGAUCGAAACAGAGGUCUUGAGUGCGAAUCUAGAUCCUGAAAUACGCAGGCCUGCAAAAAGUCAUUCGAAGAAGUGUGCAAAACUCCCAUCAUUCAGCUUUCUUUCUGCUUCCCGCUCAGCAGGAUUACUAUGUACUGAGACAGAUAGGAAACUUAUCCCGGUGAGUUUUUAUUCCGGGAUGUCAAGGGCACAAUGCGCAGCUUAGUGAAUCUCCAUCAUCUUUGCCACAGGUGUAAGUUAUGAAGAUAGUUGCUAGAUGGAGGAUUUUCACACUAGUGAUUAAGCAUCUGUUUCAAGCCAGAAUCAUCAUUAAAUCACAGAUUUGCUUUACAAGCAAUAACUAGAGGGAUUUCAUAUUACAAGUAGAGUCUUUAUAACCUACUGAAUCGCUUAUUUACGAAGACAGAAGAAUAGGAGAGCUCACGUUUUGUUUUUACUGCACAAAUACUGCAUAUGGAAUCUGAGUGAGAAGUUACUCCCUAAAAAUUUCAAAAGUGUUUUUGAGAGGUACCUUUGAGCGAAUCUUCUGGCAACAGACUCAAAGAAGUCAUCCAAUAAGUAGAAAUUCUUCUAUGGAAGGCCACACACAUUAAUAGCAGUUCUUUCAAGGCGAAUUAUGCCAAGCCAAUCAAGGAAUUGCUGCCAUGGCAUGUAGUUGUGGUUUCUUAAUGUGUUCGAGUAACUUCUGCACAAGGAAUCAAAUUAAUCUUUAAAUCCGUGAAAUUAAAAGGGAUGCAGAAUUACAAAACUAAUAAUAAGAACAAUAAUAAUAAGAUGGAUAGAAGCAUGACCUGCCAAUGCAUGAUUUCGGCAAGCCUUUGCUUUGGUUCACCACUUCCCAAUGUAGUAAGAAUUUCAACAGCAUCCCAGAAUUUCAAUAGCAUCCCAAUGAUAACUCAUACUUGAUGAGCCUUGAUGGAGAAAUGAAAGUCCAGUUAAAAUUAUUCAAAAUGCAUAUCCACUCGCCAAGAACAUAUGCACCCAGAAAUCUCCUUAAAUAAAUAAGGUUUUAACAAGGUGAAUGCUUUGCUUUUUCUUUUUUUGGGAAGAACUUCAAAGUAAACAAAGGUAAGACUAUUGGGUUUUGAUGUUUACCUUGUGUGGGAGAAAUGUGAUGUUUACCCAGAAAUCACAUUUUGUUUUCAGAAUAAAUGGUUUUUUCCACCUCUGCAUUUGACAUUGAAAAAACUUGAAUAAAUACCAAAUAAUUAAGAUAUGCUGCUGAUUUAAUUUACAAAGGAAUGGCGCAUGUGAAGAGAAAUUGACAUAUGACAAUCACCUUCAGCACAAUCAAUUCUCAUCCUAAUUUAGAAGACUAAUCAAACUAAUUGCAGCAAUAACAUCUUUUCCACGAAGUCUACUAACUUCUGCACAUAGAGUCAAAAUUAAUCCGUUAUAUCCAUGAAAAGAAUGAAGGCAGAAUUACAUUAAAAAAUGAAUAAAAAUGACGGUUAAAAGAAAGACCUGCCAAUGCAUUUAAAAUCUCUUUGAAUUUGUUUCCCACAUCCCAAUUUAUUAGAAUUUCAGGUGAGUAAAAAACAAAUAAAUGAUUCCUCUAGCUUGAUGAGCCUGUACAUGUGGGAAAAAAGUGUUAAAAUAUUAUCAUAAAGCAAAUAAAUUCUCAAUUAUACAAAAAAUAAAAGAAAGAAAAGGUACUCUGUAUAUUGAUCUUGAUUGUAAAGAAAUAAUGACAAAAGGUACUCUGUAUAUUGAUCUUGAUUGUAAAGAAAUAAUGACAAAAGGAUACUUACGAACUCAAAGGUAAUACACUGCUCAUUUUGGAAGAAACACAUCCAACACUUCAAAACUUAUCCUUCAUUGAUCUGUGUAAAUAGAAUCAUAGAGUGAAGAUUUUCUCAUGUAAGUUUAAUUUGCAAAUUGGAGAGAAAAAGGACCAACUUACCGAAGCUUCAUCAUCCAGUAGAUAGCGGCCCUCUCUUUGAAUUCUUUGGUCAUCAACUUCAAUAUUUGGGAUGUGAGAAAUGAAAGCCCAAUCCGCACCCUUUCUAUUUCCACAUCUUUCCUUCAAUUGGGGACGGUCAUUGAUAUUCAAUUCUCGUAACGAGGUGAGGGAACGCAUCUCUUGAGGCAGACACUUUAUUGCCGGACAAAUCUGAAUGGUUAGUCUUUGAAGACAAGUGAGAUUCCACAGUCCAUCUGGAGGUAGAGAUUCCAGCUCUUCAAUGUCCGUAAUCUGAAGGAUCUUCAAUUUAGAGAGAGGAGGAAUGAUUGAGGAAGAAGAAGAGAUUGAUGGUGUGAAUAUUUGGUGCACAAGUUGUGGGCUUGCGCAGUGCAAAUAUAGUGAAUGAUCGAGAGAUGGAAACUGAGGGAUGGAGUUCAAAUUAGGGCAGUCCCUACAAACGAAAUACGAAAGACAAGGAAAUUGGAGUAGCUCAAGAGCUGUCGAAUCAUCCUUCUUCUUCUGCAAUCCUUUAAGCUUAGGACAACCAUAUAGCACGAGAACCCUUAGGGAUGGAAAGAAUGAUGUUGCUUGUCCCUCAAUCUCAAUGUACUCUAAAUCAUCUACUUCACGAAUAUGUAGAUAUUGAAGAGAAGGGAUUUGAUCCAUUGGUGGGAGAUGCUGAUAUCUAUUGCAAUUCCGUAUACAGAGAUAGACAAGAUUCGUGAGGGAAGAGAACCAACUUGGGAACCUCCUGCCUCCAUUGCCAAGCACACGUAACUCUUUAAGAUUGGGAUGCGGUUGGAGAUUUUGGAAUGCCAUUUCAUCUCUAUCAACAUUUGAAUCUUCCCAACUCUCCUCGCAACGUAAUUCCAAUGAUUGAAGGACUGGUUUCUCUUUCAUAUUAACAUUUACAAUCUCAUUAUCCACACAACCCAGAUUUAUAAUUUCAAGACGUCCCCUCAAAUUCUUAAGCUUAUUCAGUUCAUUUAUUUUUUCAACAUCCUUUGAGGAAAUAUGCCCUUUUGCCACUACGAACAGCGACAACGUCUGAAGUGAAGUCAACUGCCCAAGCCCACGUGGCAUAUGAGUCAAAGAGUAACAACCUUCACAAUAUAAAUGCCUAAGAUUUACAAGCUUUUUAAUAUCUUUAGGCAAUUCUUUGAGCUGGACACAGUAAGAGACAUCUAAUACUUGUAAAUUCAGCAAAUCGGUAAUAGAAUGUGAAAGUGCUUUAAGUCCCUUGUUAUCGGAACGUCAAGAUAUCUUAUAUAUUUUAGCAUUUUUAAAGAAUUAUCCAUCGUUGUAUAUGAAUGCAUCAUAAAUACACGUAAAAAUUUUAAAUUUUUAUAAAUAAAUAGUUGAUCGCAAUCAUAUUUCUCAAGCAAAAGAAGCGAUCGUACUCUUUUUGCGUUAUUAAGAAUUUCUUUUGAUGCAACAUCCAAAUUCAAUGCUACAUGAUGGAUUUUCUCAUUAAUAUUUAGUAUAUCAGAAUUUACUAGCUGAAUCCUCUUCCCACCCACUGUGGUUGCGAGAUCGUGCAUUAAAUCAUGCAUUUUACAGCUCUCUACAUUUCCAUAUCUAUCUCUUUCCACUUCUUGAAAAAAUGACCUCCACCACAGUUUCAUAAAAUAUUCAAGCCUAAUAUCUUCAAGAUAAUCACUCGUACUUGGUGACUCAAUAAACCCUUGUGCAAUCCAAAGAUGGAUUAAUCUUUUCACAUCAAUCACAUAAUCUUUUGGAUAUAUUGCGCAAUAUGCAAAACAAUGCUUCAAAUGUGAUGGGAGAUGAUCAUAACUUAGCUUCAGUGUUGGCAUAAUAUCAUUACCAUCUUGACUUAUUCUUGAGAGUUCUUUUGUUAAAAAGGGCAGCCACUCAGUUUCUGGAUUUUUCGCAUACAAGAGACUUGCGAUGGUUUUUAUUGCAAGAGGAACUCUAUGACAUUUCUUCAAAAUCUCCUUUCCCAUCUCUCUUACAUUUGCAUGUUUUGGCUCCUGCCCCUCAAGUGCUACAUGCAAAAACAAAGACCAAGACUCAUCCGGAGACAACCCUUCCAAAACAUGUGGUGCCAUUGUGCUAGAUAUAUCUGCCACCUUUUUAGAGCGAGUGGUUAUUAAUAUCUUACUUCCACUAGAGCCACCCACUAAUAAUCUCUUUAAAUUCUCCCAUUUUUCUCUAUUCUCAUUCCACACAUCAUCUAGAACAAGCAGAUAUUUCUUCCCACUAAUAAUUUUUUCCAGUCUAGACUUCAAUGCUUCUAACCCAAGAUCUUCCGGUCUAUUCCCUGUUGCAGACUCUAGAAUCUUUCCAACAGUCAUUUUCACAUCAAAAGGUUCUGAAACACACACCCAUAUUCUUGGCUCAAAUGAAUUCUUAAUCAAUUCAUCAUUGAAUAUGAUUUGAGCAAGAGUGGUCUUCCCUAAUCCUCCAAUUCCAACAAUUGAGAGGACUGAAACACACUCUUCACCAUUGGAAGACAAUACAAGUUCUGUAAUUGCCUUUUUGUCACCCUCUCUCCCAAUAACCACUUCAGGUAAAGAGGACGUAGUUUGAUCCCUCCAUACAAUACUCUCCUGAUCCGUACGAAACUCUAAAUUAAAUUUUCUGUCAGCUUCAAUAUCAGCUAGCCUCUCCCUAAUCUCCUUAACUUUAUGACCCAUUUUAAAACCAUAAACAAGUUGAUUUGAAGACGAAAAGAAGAGACUUACCUCCUUUGUCAUUCUAUUUCCAGUCAUCACUCGGCGCCUUAGAGCUUCUGUGGCGAAGUCAUCUACCAAGUCAUCAGCAUCAUAAACAACUUCUUCUAGCCUCUCAAGCCAGCCUUUCACUUGACGGUUAAGUUUCUGCUGCUCCUCAGCAUCCAGAAGAACGUUGCGAAUACUAGAAACUGUGGCCUCAAGUUUCUUAAGCUCACCUUUGACGCCCCACCACAAUCCGAUCUCAUGAAGGGCUCGAGAACCCAGCUUGGUAAUGAUAUCUCCGACAACGUUAGAGAGAACUCCGUCGGCCAUUUUGGGCGUUUUGGUUUGAUUGUAAAAGGAUGAAAUGUUGCUGUGAAGAAGAAGACGGUGACAACAAAUGACUGAUUUAAAGAAAAAAAAAGAAGUGGAGGAAAAAGCAUUCUUCUAAAUGAUUAUCUUCGGUCGGUCAACUUUGAACGGCGCUGGUUUGCUUUUUAAAUAAUAUAUUAAUACAUUUAUAUAUAUACAGAUGGAAAGAAAGUUAUUUUUUAAAAAAUAAUUUUAUUUUUUAUUAGAAAUGCAUUUUUUUUAAUUAAAUUUGAUGAGUGAUUCAAAUAUUAAAAAAUAUAAAAUAUAUAUAUACAGAUGGAAAGAAAGUUAUUUUUUAAAAAAUAAUUUAAUUUUUAAUAGAAAUGUAUUUUUUUUAAUUAAAUUUGAUGAGUGAUUCAAUUAUUAAAAAAUAUAAAAUAUAUUUUCGAUAUUGCUGAGAUUAAAUUGAUGUUGUAGUCGGAAUGAAACUGUACUAUAAUUGGUUAGAAUUUAUAAGAGAGGAAAUAUGAGAUAGUGGUGGGUACCUAUAGCAGCAAGGCAGUGAUGAGUACCUAUGACAGCUACUGUGACGCUAAAGUCAGUAUUUUGAAAAAUAGAAAAAAUUUAAUGAAUAACUUAGAGUUUGAGUAGUAUCAUAGAUAAUGUACCUUUAUCUUCGUAAUCGUUCUCCUUUUAUACUAUGAGAAAAUGUAUAUAAAUAUAUCAUGAAACAACAGGGCCUAAACUGGUCCAAAUAACUUUUGGACUCACUUUUCACUUGACCCAAAAUGGUUAAUUCAGGUUAUUUAGUAGUUUCGUGCUAGCUAUUAUAUACAAUUCCAAAAUCUCCCGAUGUGGGACAGCUUUCGCAGCGGAAGCGAACAGCUGACCAUUACACUCGAUCCCGCUAAAUUUGCGACGUCCUCGUCGCAGUUGAAUUGGAUACAAUUGCUAAUUAGGACCGAACCCUUAGGUAUUGUGGUUCGCUAGUACGUCGGGCGGCUCCACCUCGUCUCACACGGGUAGCUCUUUCCUUACAGGCUCACUAGCUCUACAUAAUUUGUUUGAUCUAGAGUGGCUCUAAUACCAAUUGAAACAGUCAGGUCCAAACUUGCUCAAAUAACUUUUGGACCCACUUUCUACUUUGCCCAAAAUAGUUAAUCUAAGUUAUUUAGUAGUUUUGUGCUACCUAUUAUAUACAAUUCCGAUUUUCUAUAAUCUCCCGGUGUGGGACGGCUUCCGCAGUGGAAGCAGGUAGCUGACCGUUGCACUUGGUCCCGCUAAAUUUGCGACGUCCUCGUCGCAACUGAAUCGGAUACAAUUGCUAACCAGGAUCGAACCCUUAGGUAUUGUAGUUCGCUAGUACCUCGAGCGGCUCCACCUCGUCUCACACGGGUAGCCCUUUCCUCGUAGGCCCACUAGCACAAUUUGUAUCUAGGGUGGCUCUAAUACCAAUUGAAACAGUCGGGUCCAAACUGGCCCAAAUAACUUUUGGACCCACUUUCCACUUGUCCCAAAAUGGUUAACUCAAGUUAUUUAAUAGUUUCGUGCUAACUAUUAUAUACAAUUUCGAUUUUCUAUAAUCUCCCAAUGUGGGACAGCUUCCGCAGCGGAAACAGGUAGCUGAUCGUUAUAAUCGGUCUCGCUAAAUUUGCGAUGUCCUCGUCGCAACUGAAUUUGAUACAAUUGCUAACCAAGACCGAACCUUUAGGUACUGUGGUUCGCUAGUACCUCUGGCGGCUCCACCUCAUCUAACACGGGUAGCUCUUUCCUCGCAGGCCCACUAGCUCUGCACAAUUUGUCUAACUCAGGGUGGCUCUGAUACCAAUUAAAAUAGUCGGGCCUAACCUGCCCCCAAAGGUUUGACUUUUGAAUCUGUGAGCGGACUUUAGGCCGUCGAACCUGCUGCCGAAAGUGCCCUGUCCAGCCUUUUUCAGCUUGCUUCCUACGUGUGUUCUUCUAUGUUCUUAGGGGGUAGUUUUAAGUGUUGUAAAAGUUAUAUUUGGUUCCUCAUUUAAGUCCAUCUGUGUAGGAUCGGACUUGGAAGAUCGUAGAAACUUGCAGUAAGAUAACUGUAUCAAAAUUAGGCGUGCGUCAGCCAGAGGUGAGUAGAACUAAACUCAAUUAUUAUUUUAAAAAAACCAAAUGUUUUAAGCAUACUUAUGCAUCACAAAUGCUAUGUAUAUAUAUGAUUAUGGUGCUUUGCAUUAGAAUUCACGAAUAUAAUGCAUUGCAUAAUUUAUUAUUGUUGUUGAUGUAUGUUAGAUGACCUUCUAGCCCUCAAGUAUGUUAUGGUAUGUUAUGACGGAUAUGGAAAGAGCAGGACUUGCUCAUUCUACGCCCUUGGCACUGUGUAAGGGAAAGACCAGGGUUACACAUUUUAUAUCCGUGGCACUAUGGAUAUGUUAUUUUAUGUUUAAGAGGAAAUUCUGAAAAGCGCUUGUCGUGGGCUGGGCACUAUUGGAAUCUAUAGAGAGUCACUGGUGACAAGUCUAUCUUGAUAUGAAUUGUUUGUGUUGUGACACAUUUAUACGAUCAUAUGUCUUAUUAAACUGCUUUUGUUAUGUUUCUGCUCACUAGCCUCUUAUAGUUUAUCCCUUUUCCCUAACUCCAGAUUUGCAGGAUCAGAAUUAGCUCGAGAGGUGGGCCGAGGUGUUGGUAUAGUCCAUUGUAAUAACAUAGUUGUGGACAUGUAUUAAUUUGUGAAUUUGAAUUGUGUUUUGCGUGAGUUUUCUUUAUAAUCCUUAUUUUAUGAUUUUUUUAUGUAAAAGAUUUUAAGUCUAAAUUAUGUUUGAACUAAGCUUGAGGUGUGUAAUAUUGACUAUACUAAAACAUUUGAUGAGAGCUCUAGUAUGAAUUUAUGUUUCCAGUUCUGAUACAUGCGCAGGUCAAGUUUUUGUUAUUGAAAUAGAAGUGUUUUUACAUGUUUGUGUGAUUAUGUAUGGAUCUAUAUCAAAUGUAACAGGAUGUAUAGUAAAUUUGCUAUGAGUUCCGGCAACCUUAGAUUGAUCUGAACCGUAGUGCCGAUAGCGGUCUGAGUUGCAGAUGUGGCUCCGAAUUGAAUUAUUUAACAAAGUAUGGGGUAUCAAAGGAAAAAAGUGAAAACUUUGGGUAUUGACUUCAUUCCUUUGGAGGUUAGUCUGAAGGACACUAUUGAAAGCUUGAAGGAUAAGGGCUUCCUCAGCAUUUAAUAUUGGCUGUUGGAUAAAAAGCAAUGCAAAUAUUACAUUGGCUUUUCAGGUUCAUUGGCUUUAGCUUCCUAUUGGUGCAAGAUAUUAUUACCCUUCAGGAUUGUCUUUAUUUGAAAAAAGUGGACCAAUACAAUUUGUAAAAUACAUAACAAUUUGUAUACAACUGUAUAUAAACAUAUUACAUGUGUCACUUGUUUCACUGGUGGAUGAAGUUCAUUUCAGGUCUGAUUUCUGAGGAAGUUACUCUUUUUUUUAUCUGAUUUCAGGUCUCAUUCCAAAGAAUAAGACACAAGAAAAAGAAAAUGUGUAAUCCACCAAUUCAGAUUUAGUUCAGUCUUUUCAAAGUAUAUUCAGAUUUCAUAGCCAACUCAUUUUAUGCUGUAUCUGAUUUCUGGUUCUUGUGAUAUGCUCUUACAAAAUUCAUCUAAAAUUCAGUGCUCUUACACAUUCUGGAAACAACAAUUUAUACAAAAACUGAUUUCUCAGGGAAAAAAAGGAAAAUAAUGUUAUUUGCAUUGAAUGAACAAAUGAUUAGCAUAGUAGCAAAACUACUUAAAAUAAGAGAAAUUAGAAACAAAAAAGCAGCACAGCAUGAGUCUGGGCAUUGCAUGUUGGAUGAUCGAAACAGAGGUGUUGAGUGAGAAUCUAGAUCCUGAAAUACGCGGGCCUGCAAAAAGUCAUUCGAAGAAGUGUGCAAAACUCCCAUCAUUCAGCUUUCAUUUCUGCUUCCGGCUUAGCAGGAUUACUAUGUACUGAGUUGUUUUCUGAACUGUGACAGAUAGGAAACUUAUCCCGGUGAGAUUUUAUUCCGGAAUGUCAAGGGCACAAUGCGUAGCUUAGUGAAUCUCCAUCAUCUUUGCCGCAGGUGUAAGUUAUGAAGAUAAUUGCUAGAUGGAGGAUUUUCACACUAGUAAUUUAGCAUCUGUUUCAAGCCAGAAUCAUCAUUAAAUCACAGAUUUGCUUUACAAGCAAUAACUAGGGGGAUUUCAUAUUACAAGUAGUCUUUAUAACUUACUGAAUCGCUUAUUUUUGAAGACAGAGGAUGAGGAGAGCUCACGUUUUGUUUUUACUGCACAAAUACUGCAUAUGGAAUCUGAGUGAGGAGUUACUCUCUAAAAAUUUCAAAAGUGUUUUUGAGAGGUACCUUUGCGUGAAUCUUCUGGCAACAGACUCAAAGUAGUCAUCCAAUAAGUAGAAAUUCUUCUAUGGAAGGCCACACACAUUAAUAGCAGUUCUUUCAAGGCGAAUUAUGCCAAGCCAAUCAAGGAAUUGCUGCCAUGGCAUGUAGUUGUGGUUUCUUAAUGUGUUCGAGUAACUUCUGCACAAGGAAUCAAAUUAAUCUUUAAAUCCGUGAAAUUAAAAGGGAUGCAGAAUUACAAAACUAAUAAUAAUAACAAUAAUAAUAAGAUGGAUAGAAGCAUGACCUGCCAAUGCAUGAUUUCGGCAAGCCUUUGCAUUGGUUCACCACUUCCCAAUGUAGUAAGAAUUUCAACAGCAUCCCAGAAUUUCAAUAGCAUCCCAAUGAUAACUCAUACUUGAUGAGCCUUGAUGGAGAAAUGAAAGUCCAGUUAAAAUUAUUCAAAAUGCAUAUCCACUCGCCAAGAACAUAUGCACCCAGAAAUCUCCUUAAAUAAAUAAGGUUUUAACAAGGUGAAUGCUUUGCUUUUUCUUUUUUUGGGAAGAACUUCAAAGUUAACAAAGGUAAGACUAUUGAGUUUUGAUGUUUACCUUGUGUGGGAGAAAUAUGAUGUUUACCCAGAAAUCACAUUUUGUUUUCAGAAUAAAUGGUUUUUUCCACCUCUGCAUUUGACAUUGAAAAAACUUAAAUAAAUACCAAACAAUUAAGAUAUGCUGCUGAUUUAAUUUACAAAGGAAUGGUGCAUGUGAAGAGAAAUUGACAUAUGACAAUCACCUUCAGCACAAUCAAUUCUCAUCCUAAUUUAGAAGACUAAUCAAACUAAUUGCAACAAUAACAUCUUCUCCACGACGUCUACUACCUUCCGCACAUAGAGUCAAAAUUAAUCCGUUAUAUCCAUGAAAAGAAUGAAGGCAGAAUUACAUUAAAAAAUGAAUAAAAAUGAUGGCUAAAAGAAAGACCUGCCAAUGCAUUUAAGAUCUCUUUGAAUUUGUUUCCCACAUCCCAAUUUAUUAGAAUUUCAGGUGACUAAAAAACAAAUAAAUGAUUCCUCUAGCUUGAUGAGCCUGCAUAUGUGGGAAAAAAGUGUUAAAAUAUUAUCAUAAAGCAAAUAAAUUCUCAAUUAUAAAAAAAAAAAUAAAAGAAAAAAAAAGGUACUCUGUAUAUUGAUAUUGAUUGUAAAGAAAUAAUGACAAAAGGAUACUUACGACUCAAAGGUAAUACACUGCUCAUUUUGGAAGAAACACAUCCAACACUUCAAAACUUAUCCUUCAUUGAUCUGUGUAAAUAGAAUCAUAGAGUGAAGAUUUUCUCAUGUAAGUUUAAUUUGCAAAUUGGAGAGAAAAAGGACCAACUUACCGAAGCUUCAUCAUCCAGUAGAUAGCGGCCCUCUCUUUGAAUUCUUUGGUCAUCAACUUCAAUAUUUGGGAUGUGAGAAAUGAAAGCCCAAUCCGCACCCUCUCUAUUUCCACAUCUUUCCUUCAAUUGGGGACAGUCAUUGAUAUUCAAUUCUCGUAACGAGGUGAGGGAACGCAUCUCUUGAGGCAGACACUUUAUUGCCGGACAAAUGUCAAUGGUUAGUCUUUGAAGACAAGCGAGAUUCCGCAGUCCAUCUGGAGGUAGAGAUUCGAGCUCUU